ACGGGAGGCAGCAGUGGGGAAUAUUGCACAAUGGGGGAAACCCUGAUGUAGCGACGCCGCGUGAGUGAAGAAGUAUUUCGGUAUGUAAAGCUCUAUCAGCAGGGAAGAUAAUGACGGUACCUGACUAAGAAGCACCGGCUAAAUACGUGCCAGCAGCCGCGGUAAUACGUAUGGUGCAAGCGUUAUCCGGAUUUACUGGGUGUAAAGGGAGCGCAGACGGCAGAGCAAGUCUGAAGUGAAAGCCCCGGGCUCAACCCGGGAACUGCUUUGGAAACUGUUUUGCUAGAGUGUCGGAGAGGUAAGUGGAAUUCCUAGUGUAGCGGUGAAAUGCGUAGAUAUUAGGAGGAACACCAGUGGCGAAGGCGGCUUACUGGACGAUAACUGACGUUGAGGCUCGAAAGCGUGGGGAGCAAACAGGAUUAGAUACCCUGGUA
rnacentral:rRNA from 1 species